rnacentral:rRNA from 1 species
UACAGAGGGGGCAAGCGUUGUUCGGAAUUACUGGGCGUAAAGGGCGCGUAGGCGGCCUGCUAAGUCGAACGUGAAAUCCCUGGGCUCAACCCAGGAACUGCGUCCGAUACUGGUUGGCUUGAAUCCGGGAGAGGGAUGUGGAAUUCCAGGUGUAGCGGUGAAAUGCGUAGAUAUCUGGAGGAACACCGGUGGCGAAGGCGACAUCCUGGGCCGGUAUUGACGCUGAGGCGCGAAAGCCAGGGGAGCAAACGGG